rnacentral:tRNA from 1 species
GGGCGGUUGGCGCAGUUGGUUAGCGCGUUGCGUUGACAUCGCAAAGGUCAUAGGUUCGAAUCCUAUACCGCCCACCA